rnacentral:rRNA from 1 species
AUGGCUUGCGAUCCUGCUUUCGACGUCCAGCACCCGUGUCAUGAUGAACGGCGGGCCAGGCCCCCCGAUCUGGCACCGUUGUGGCCUGCGCCAAGGCGACUCCAUGUCCCCCCAGCUGUUCGUUCUCGCUGUGGACACGCUUGGGCGGUUGAUGCGCCGAGCGCUCGAUGCCGGCAUUCUGCAGCAGUUGCACCCCCGACGCCCAAUCCCGGCGAUCUCCCUCUAUGCUGA